GGCCGCGUGGCCCAAUGGCAAGGCGUCUGACUACGACGGCGUGCGCUGCGAAGUGCCCCCGCAUACAUCAGGAGACUCUGGGUUCGAGCCCCAGCGUGGUCA